GUAGUCCACGCUGUAAACGAUGAGUGCUAGGUGUAGGGGAUUUCGACAUCCUCUGUGCCGCAGUAAACGCAAUAAGCACUCCGCCUGGGGAGUACGGUCGCAAGACUAAAACUCAAAGGAAUUGACGGGGGCCCGCACAAGCAGCGGAGCAUGUGGUUUAAUUCGAAGCAACGCGAAGAACCUUACCAGGACUUGACAUCCAAAGAAUCCACAAGAGAUUGAGGAGUGCCCUUCGGGGAACUUUGAGACAGGUGGUGCAUGGUUGUCGUCAGCUCGUGUCGUGAGAUGUUGGGUUAAGUCCCGCAACGAGCGCAACCCUUGUCAUUAGUUGCUAACAUUAAGUUGAGCACUCUAAUGAGACUGCCGGGGACAACUCGGA
rnacentral:rRNA from 1 species